rnacentral:rRNA from 1 species
CGCCUCUUGCAAAAUAAAAAUAAGAGGUCCUGCCUGCCCUGUGACCCUGUGUUCAACGGCCGCGGUAUUUUGACCGUGCGAAGGUAGCGUAAUCACUUGUCUUUUAAAUAAAGACCUGUAUGAAUGGCAAGACGAGGGCUUGACUGUCUCCUUCCUCUUAUCAAUGAAAUUGAUCUCCCCGUGCAGAAGCGGGGCUAAAACCAUAAGACGAGAAGACCCUAUGGAGCUUCAAAUACUUAAAUAAUCCUUUGCUCAAACCCUGUUUAAACCACGGUAAGCAAUAAGUUAAUUAAUUAACUAUUUUUGGUUGGGGCGACCACGGGGAAAAAAGUAACCCCCGUGAAGAUUGAGGUCACACCUUAAAGCUAAGAACUCCUAUUCUAAGCAGCAAAAUCUUUGAGUUACGAUCCGGCAAAGCCGAUCAACGGACCUAGUUACCCUAGGGAUAACAGCGCAAUCCCCUUUAAGAGUCCUUAUCGACAAGGGGGUUUACGACCUCGAUGUUGGAUCAGGACAUCCUAACGGUGCAGCCGCUGUUAAGGGUUCGUUUGUUCAACGAUUAAAGUCCU